rnacentral:lncRNA from 1 species
GGGAAAACUCUUUUUAAAAAAAAAAACAAACAAGUAUCUCAUGCUCUUGUUUCUCAAAAGAAAAAAAAAACAUACACAAAAAAAAAAAAGAAAGAAAGAGAGAAGAAAGGAAGGAAAAAAUACUAAAACAAAAACAGGGGCCAAUAAAAUUCCCUAACAUCCGCAGUGUUUUCAUUUACUCUGCUUGUCUUUAUGUUGCUGGGACGUUCUAAAAGACGGUGAGGACCGCACGCAUUCAUAAAGCAAAGGAGUAUUACAUCGAGGCACAACACAAAACCAACACAAAACACAACACACACAAAGAAGCUACCUAUGAUCCUGGAUUCAGCCAAAGUGCUAGCGCUUUCCUGAGGAGCCAGUCAGUGGGCGUGCCAGAGAAGAAGUCUUCUUAUGGGACCAUCUGCAGAUUAUGAGGAGUUGGUCAGCUGGCACAACUGGAGCAGGGGUUGGAACUUGCAUUUGAGACAAAGUGCUGGCUUUUUUUUUCUUUUUUUCUUUUCUUUUCUUUUUCUUUUUUUUGAAGACUAAUGCAGGAAAGCGUUUUUAAAAAGCCCCUUUCUGUUUGUGAGAGAGUAACAAUUAAAAAAAAUAUUAUGGAGGCCUUAUUUUUCAAAAUGUGAAAUAUAAGGCACAUGUUCACACUAAAAUUACAAAACAAAAAUGAGAGGGCAUAGAUGCAAUCAUUGGGAAAUUUUCAUGCACGCUUACUAUGUUAUUACAUAUGUUUAUAUAAACCCAUCUCUGUGUGCUUUCUGGACUGUGAUAAGUGACGUUUUAUAGCCUGUUGUAUAGAAAAUGCAAAAUAUAUCUCUGCUCUUCAGCCAUUUUUGGUAAAUUCAAUGUUAUAAGUGUUGCUAAGUAUAGGGAGUUUUAUGACAUCGGAGCAACAAUUAUUUCAGACAGAUUUUUUUGCCGACAUUAUAAAUUGCCACAAUUACUUACUUUUUUAAACUAAAAUUACAGUGUAGUGUUUAUUCUAAGAAAGAUAUGUAUGAAUGUAUAUAAAAAGACUCAGCUACUUCUUUUCUUACAUAUAUAGCCUUCAUUCUGUUGCAUUAUUAAGUUUUAGUAAUUGUAUGAAAGGUGUGAAUUAGAAGGUGAAAUAUAUACCUAAGUAUCAGAUAAAACUUUCUCUUUCCCAAAUACUCAUAUGUCUAUAUGUGUUUAACAUUCACACACAUACACACACACACACACACACACACACACACACACAAAUACACAUACACAGGCAGCCAUCAGAUAUGAUGGAAUACCAAAACACACAAAUACUGACAAAUUGAAAAUGUGAAGUUAGACAGUUGUGCCAAGGUAUUAUAACAAAUCGGUGAUUUGCUUCAUUGAGAUUCUGAUUCCAGGAGACCUUGAAUUCUUAGUCCCUAGUAAAAUGGAACGUUUAUUUUAAACGAAAGAGAUCCAUCACCAUACAUGGCUGCAUAAAUAUGCAUCACUCAACAGGCAUUACAUAAAUAAUGUUGGUUUACUCUGGCUGCUGCAAUGGAAAACAUUUUUCCCAUAAAUUUAUAGAUAUUCUCUGAACAUGGUGUGUGUGAUCAAGCUUUAUGGAAAGUAAGCAUUUUCUCAACUAAAAAAGUAUUCUCAGUAAUUUUUGAUUCUGUAUUACUACCCACUAAAAUCAUUCUCUAUUUGUUGACUAUUGACUUAAUUUUAACUUUUCUGGUUUUACAUCUAUAUACUUAAACAUAGUUUUAGUUUAACACACACUGUGUAGUAGUGAAGUAUAGGUUACUCACUUGUUUUGCAUAAUGUUUGAAUGAUGUUCAUAGCAAUAAAUUAUCAAGGUGAGAAAAUAAUUUUUAGGUUGCAGGGUGAUGCCUCUGUAAAAAUUGAUCACAUGACAUAAACAUCUAAAAGAAUAAUUCUUGGUUUCAUAAAAGAGAAAGAUAUCACUAAUCUGCUUUAAUCAACAAGGC